AGUGAACGCUGGCGGUAGGCCUAACACAUGCAAGUCGAACGGCAGCACAGUAAGAGCUUGCUCUUACGGGUGGCGAGUGGCGGACGGGCGCGGAAUACAUCGGAAUCUACUUUUUCGUGGGUGAUAACGUAGGGAAACUUACGCUAAUACCGCAUACGCCCUACGGGUGAAAGCAGUGGAUCUUCGCACCUUGCGCGAUUGAUUGAGCCGAUGUCGGAUUAGCUAGUUGGCGGGGUAAAGGCCCACCAAGGCGACGAUCCGUAGCUGGUCUGAGAGGAUGAUCAGACACACUGGAACUGAGACACGGUCCAGACUCCUACGGGAGGCAGCAGUGGGGAAUAUUGGACAAUGGGCGCAAGCCUGAUCCAGCAAUACCGCGUGGGUGAAGAAGGCCUUCGGGUUGUAAAGCCCUUUUGUUGGGAAAGAAAAGCAGCAGGUUAAUACCCCGCUGUUCUGACGGUACCAAAAGAAUAAGCACCGGCUAACUUCGUG
rnacentral:rRNA from 1 species